UUUAUUUGUGUUUAAAUAAAACUACAAAUGGAACGAUACAGAGAAGAUUAGCGUGGCCCCUACGCAAGGAUGACAUGCAAAUUCGGGAAGCAUUCCAUAUUUUU